UUGCUUUGGCAGCACAUAUACUAAAAUUGGAACGAUACAGAGAAGAAGAAUAGCAUGGCCCCUGUGCAAGGAUGACACGCAAAUUCGCAAGAUUCUAUAUUAAAAA